GCGCGUGACGAAACACCCCCCCCCCCAAAAAAAACCCGGAAAAGGCGCGCAUGGCACGUUGGGCGGAGCUCACAGUCGCCUCAGCGACCUGCCACACACACCUUUCAGGUGUCUUCGAGCGGCCUUGCUUUUCGGCCAGGUGAGGGCUAACGCCGCUGUCAAAGCAUCCCCUGAAGUAGCUGCGACGGCGGGAAGCGAAGGUAUCGAUUCCGGCGCCUGAAAAUGGCCUUGAGAAGGGUUGGGCUAGAUGACCCCCGGGGGUCCCUUCCCUACUGUGAUUCUGAG